CGGCUGCCCCUCCACUGCCGCAGUUAGUGGGGCCGCUUCGCUGUGGUCCGGCUCCUCGGGGGUGCCCGAAGGUCCGCGGCCUGGCUUCUGCCCCUCAGGAAGGCCCGGCCCGACCAGACCAGGUGGCUGUUCUGACGGGUGCACUCGGCCCCUUAACCAAAGCAGUGGUGGUUUGGUACAGGCUCCAGAGGAGGUAGAGGUCUGAGCGGUAGCUGGGCCAAGAACUCUGCUAGAAGACCUCACGAAGGAGCCGAGGGGCCCAGUGAGCAUCCCAGUGAGCCCGCAAAACAGGCACACCAGCUCUCCCCACAGUCCCUCCUGCCCCCUUUCCCCCCCCCCCCCCCCAGCCCGUCCCUGGCUACCAUGAUGCAGUGGAACCCCCCCCAGCACCAACACAAACAGUGUGUAUGAGCUUGGAACAUGGAUCAUAUAAGUAACGUGUGAAUUGUGGGUGGGUUUUGCAAGUCAUUUAUCAAGGAACAAAGCAAGUUGUGGGUACAAGGAGUAUCCAGCCUACCUUUCCAAUUAUAUGCAAUUUGACUAUAAGCCAACCAGUUUAGCCCAUAAAUAAGACAGCCUAACAGAGCCUUCUUGGAGCUCUCCCUGCUAGACAGCAUGGCUGUGUAGCAGUGACCUCCCCUUGAGCUGGGGCACCUCUUGAGGUUCCUCCUUGAGGCAGAGAGACCUUUUACCAGCAAUGGUUUGUUGGAUGAGACCAAUUUCAGUUCUCCUUGGGAGUGCAACUGGACUGCACAUCAGGCGACCCCCCCCACCUUGAGCAGGGACACCUCCCAGGGUUUGUGAUCCCAUACCAGAGACGAAGAAAUCCUUCCUUACCCAAGGUGGAGACAGCCCUUAUUCACAACAUAUCCUAGUGGCCAUCCAAACUAUUACGUGAUGCCAAGCAGCCCAACAUCAGGUAAAGCAGCAACACGACCUGCACCCAGAGCAGGAUAACCAGCAUGGUCAAUUGAAAUAUCUUUAACAAGCUCUCCUGAGGGGGUGGGGAGUAACAGUUCCAGGUAAAUACACUCUAUUUUACAUGCAUUUUCUGUCCAGACCUCCUGUUAGCCUCUCAGCAUUGAAAGAGUGGCUUUUCUCUUUGGCAAUGACAGCUUUUGUUUUCACUGUAUUUUUUGUAGUCAAUUUAAGUAGGUGAUUGACUGAGCAACACAACUGGUGUUUUAAUUGCUUUGCUGAUAACAUUCUCAGAGAGGUCAUAAUCUUGUUUAAUUGGGGAGCAACCACUGAAGCACUUUCUCUUCCUUCACCCUUCCUUGCAAUCCCAGUAAGAUCUUGAAGUAAUGACUUUAUACUGUUCCUUGCGGGGAAGAAGAGCCUCUUUUCUGCCAGCAACACUUGGAAGUGGUUCUGUUGUCAAGUUGCGGGCCUUUGCAGUUGGGUGAGAGAAACCUCUAGCUUGCAGUUGAUGCUCUAUUGUGAAUUGUUUAUUUUGGACAAAGAUUAUCUAUACUUUUUUUCCUACUUCUGUGUUUGCGUUCUAUCCUGUUCUACUUUCAGAAGUAAUCUUGACAAGGAAGGCACUAUGUUAGUGGGGUUUUUUUGAUCAAAAUCCCAUUUUUGGUGGGAUUUUUUGAAUGUUCUGGGGGACGCCCAGGGCCUGUAGGGCGCAUCAAGGUCUUUCAGAGGAGGAGAGGUGUUCCUUCAGCUUGCUGGUCUGUCUGCAAUACCGGAGUCCUCGGGACUAGUAGAUGCUCAGGGAGGGAAGUGCUGUGUUUCGAAGCAAACUUGAAACACAGGUCUGUUUUCUGUGCCUCUUAAUUCUCACAAGGUCACUGGGCUAGAGAUACCUUGGAAAUGGGGGAACGCACAGAGUCGUCAGUCUUUGUUUGCAAGGAAGGGUUUCUGUUUUCUUGUUCGGAGAAAUGUUAGAAAUAAGGAGACGUCUGUGAGUUCUUAACAGUUGUGUUCAGGGAGUUUGACUGAUGAAGUUCUUAGGUGUGUGGUGUCCUGUCUUAAUACUUCACAAAUAACGUUUUUUAUCUCAAAUGUGGGAAGGGAACACGGCGCCUUGGUUUCGGCGAUCAGAGCAACGAACAGAUCAGACGGUGCCCUGACUCCUGUCUGGACAAGGCAGAGGUUUUGCACGUCGAACAAACGAAAUCGUGAUGCCUGAACAGCUGAAAGGUGUCAGUGGACUCUGUUCCUGACGAAUACAGACGCUACAGCACAGCCCAUGUUGGGGUGAGCACCUUUUGCCGGGUGUCCGCCAGGUACAACCGAGAAGCGCUUUGUUAGCCCCUGCACUCCCACUGCGGGUCACAAGAUGGGGUCUGAAUACCCAGAGAGACAGCUGUGCCAGCAGCACGUGCAGCAGCGAAACACCACCUUGCCACUCUAUUUUGCUUGGGUACCGUAAUAAAUCUCGCUAGCUGUUUUGCCAAUUGACGGGGUUAACACAAAGGACAC